UGCCAGCAGCCGCGGUAAUACAGAGGGUGCGAGCGUUAAUCGGAAUUACUGGGCGUAAAGGGCGCGUAGGUUGAUAUUUAAGUUAGAUGUGAAAUGUUUUGGCUUAACCAAGAGAAGUCAUUUAAUACUGGAUAUCUAGAGUGUAGGAGAGGGAAGUAGAAUUUCCGGUGUAGCGGUGAAAUGCGUAGAUAUCGGAAGGAAUACCAGUGGCGAAGGCGGCUUCCUGGGCUCAUACUGACACUGAGGCGCGAAGGCGUGGGUAGCAAACAGGAUUAGAUA
rnacentral:rRNA from 1 species